rnacentral:sRNA from 1 species
GGGAAUAUAUAUGUGUGACCUAUAUGGGUACUUAGCGUAGAACAAAUAAUAUAGAAUAGGACAAACGAAACCUGUAAUACGUAUAUUUAUGGUGUGUUUUAAUAUAUUUUAUGAAAUCUUAAAAACCACACUUUUAAGGGCAGAGAUGACCGAAGAAUACCAAACCCUAGUCCCUUCAUUGUACAGUAAUGUCGGAGUAUUCGUCUGCUUCGUAGUUCUUGUACAGAAUUCUGAAUUUGUUUUAGAGCCUUUGUUAUGUGACCUGUAUUUCUAUUUUGAGUAGAGUAGACUAACUUAGAUUAGUUUAUUUAUUUGACUGAAGUGGCGACUUUACAAAGGGUAUAUUCAAACCAUUAUGGCAAAGUAAUGAAAAGCAAAUAUGUGCCAAAGACUAGUUUCUAUGUGGCCAAGUCCGCACUUUUCUUGAAAUAGGUGAAAUAUGUGAUGUCGGGGUUUUGUUUGAAGUCAUUCAACUUUCAAGUCGAUAUUUUGACCUGUUAAGAACUUUUUUGACUUGGGAGUAUGAUGUCAUUAGGGGACCACGUUUUCUGUGGACUUUGUAAAAAAACAAACCUUGGGAAAAAUCUUCAUUGUUUUCUUUCUCAGCACACAUAACCUUCACUGACCAAUAACCUGAUUAUCUCUGAUUCACCCAAGGUAUUAUGUCUUGACCUUUGUAUAGUGUAUUUGUGAAAAAGAGUCAACUGAAAUAAAAACGGUAUAUUC